AGUGAACGCUGGCGGUAUGCCUAACACAUGCAAGUCGAACGGCAGCACCGAAAGUUCCUGCUCUAACGGGUGGCGAAAGGCGUACGGAACACGAGUACAUCGGAAUCUACUUUUUCGUGUGGGCCAACGUAAGGAAACCUACGAUCAUACAGCAUAAGACCUAGGGUUGAAAGGAGGGGAGCUUCGGAGCUUGCGCGGUUGUAUGGGCCGAUGUCGUAUUAGCUAGUUUGCGGGGUAACGGCGCAGCAAGGCGACGAUCCGUAGCUGGGCUGAGAGGAUGAUGCGCCACACUGGAACUGAGACACGGUCCAGACUCCUAGGGGCGGCAGCAGUGGGGACUAGUGGACAAUGGGCGCAAGCUUGAUCCAGCCAUACCGCGUGGGUGAAGAAGGGCUUCGGGUUGUAUAGCCCUUUUGUUGGGAAAGACAACCAGCAGGUUAGUACCCCGCUGUUCUGACGGUACCCAGAGAAUAAGCACCGGCUAACUUCGUG
rnacentral:rRNA from 1 species